UCUCUUAUAAAAACAAAAGGAGAUUCUAGUUAAAAAAGUACUGGAGGUAAGCCAAAACUGCAAAUUGAGCAUGUUAUGAUACACUUUUGAAUGAGGUUGGUUGUAUUUAAUUCAAGAAUGAAAUUUACAUUCCUAGACAUUGUCAUGCUUAUCUGUACUUUUUAAUGUUAUUUUCUAUCAUAAAUUUCUCACAUGCCCAUGCAUUUCAUAUGUCAUGUCAUAGGGUAGACUAUAUGUGGUCACAUGCUCACAUUUCCAUACAUUCAUUUGUCAUCACUUAGGAUAGGUUAUAUUCUAUGCUCAUAUGUUCGUGCACCUCACAUGCCUUUGCAUUCAUAUAUCAUAUGUUCUCACUUGCCCCUAUGUUUAUGUAUUCUACAUGUCAGCCCUUAGGUUGAUUGUACAUAUUCACAUAAAAAAGAUUUUCUACAAGGACAAUAAAAUUGUCAAAUGAUAUUCUUCUCACACUUUAUAAGCAUUUAACCAUUGCAUCCCUUUGUUGUCUCUGUGUCUUUUUGCAUGAGAAAAAUGUGUUGAAGGGAAAAAGUGCAAAUCGAACUUAUUAUGCUAUGCUUUGGAAUGAGGUUGGUUGUAUUUAAUUCAAGAAUGUAAUUUACUUUCCUAGCCAAUGACAUGCAAUCACAUGCUUGGUUAUACUCUAAUGUUAUUUUCUAGUAUAAAUUGCUCCAUGCCCAUGCAUUUCACAUGUCAUUUGAUAAGGUAGACUAUAUGUGGUCCCAUGCUUACAUAUCCAUGCAUUCAUUUGUCAUCACUUAGGAUAGAUUAUAUUCUAUGCUCCUCUGUUCAUGCACCUCACAUGCCCAUGCAUUCAUAUAUCAUAUUUUCUCACUUAGGACUAAUUAUAUUCUAUGCUCACAUGCUUAGAUGUCCAUGCUUUAGGGUUUAAGCUAAGGACUGACAUGUUAUUCUAUGCUUCGGAAAAAUUGCAAUUUAGUUUCCUAACCAUUUGCCAUGUAAUCACAUGCUUGGGUAGACUAUAUGUGGUCACAUUCUCACAUAUCAAUACAUUCAUUUGUCAUCAUUUAGGAUAGAUUAUAUUCUAUGCUCGCAUGUUCAUGCACCUCACAUGCCAAUGCCCAUGCAUUCAUAUAUUAUAUGUUCUUACUUGCCCCUAUGUUUAUGCAUUCUACAUGUCAGCCGUUAGGUUGAUUUUACAUGUUCACAUGAAAAGAAUUUCCUACCAGGGCAAUAAAUUUUCAAAUGACAUUCUUCUCACACUUUAUAAACAUUUAACCAUUGUAUCCAUUUGUAGUCUCUUUGUGUCUUUUUGCAUGAGAAAAAUGCAUUGAAGGGAAAAAGUGCAAAUCAAACUUGUUAUGCUAUGCUUUGGUAUUUCAAUUGACUUGAUUUAUAGUUUCAUUCUUCCCCUGUGAGAUGGCUGGAGCCGCUACUGGUAAUGUUUUUUCUUGUCUUUUUUUUAUUGUGUGUUAAAUGUGAUUUGGUUUGGGUAUUGUGGGUGGAUUGGUUUUGAUAUAGGAAUUUUGUUUUUUAAGUUGAGGCUGUUUUUCUUUUCAUUUGUGGUUGAGAUUUUCUAUUACAAUCUCCAUAUAAUUGUGACUGCCCAAUUGAUGUUUUUCAUCGAAUUUGCUUCUUGGUUGACGUUUUUUGUUUUGAAUGGUGCUGGAUUAAUCCGGAUGAACUAUGGGCUUUAAUUUUUCUUCUUCAGUUUGUAUGAUUAUUGAAUGUAUGUAGGCAAGCUGUUUGUUAAAGGUUUCUUAGAGGAUUAAUGGGUUGUUUUGGGGUCUGGGUUUGUCUAUUUGUUAUGGGUUAUUGGGUUUUUGUUUCUUUUGAGUUUGUAUGUAAAAGGGUUACUUAAAAAGCUAGAUGGGGGUUUUUAGGGUAUUGGCUUUUUGUUUAUUUUUGAAUCUCUGAGAAUAUAGAUUUUGAAAACUUGAAUAUUUGAAUUGGCUUUUAUUUUUUUAUUUAUUUUUAUUUUUUAUUUUAUGGGGUUUGUAGGGUUCUUUGUUAUUGUCUUAUGAAACAGGUUGCAAUCUGACUUGAUGGCCUUAAUGGUAAGAACCUUGUGACUUAACCUAAAUCUGUCUAUAAUUGAGAUGGGUUUUUCUUUUUGUUAUUGGUAAAGAACAUAAGGUUUUUCAAAAAAAAAAAAUUUGUGCAACCAAACGCUAUCUUUGAACUCACAAUUUGAUUCCGGUAAGUGAAGAUUUGGUAGUUUGGAUUCAAUUACAAUUUAAUUAGACUAUUCAUUAUGUCUAAUAGUCUAAUGAAUUGAUGUUAAUUGGAAAUAGUAAUGUUCCUACUGUGUUUUGCAGAUAAUUGUGGAUUUGAUAUGCAACAGGUAUGCAUAUUGUCCUGUUUAUAUUGCUUUAACUUAAGGAAUAUCCAUUCUUUGGUGAAUUGUGAUUCUAUGAUGCCACAUCUCAAUAACGAUUUAUUAGAAUGAACUAUCUUGCUUUUGGAGGGCUUUACAGAGUUGGUUGACAAUUAUUUGCUGCGUCUUUCCUCUUUGAAAAAUUAAUGUUAAAACAUGUCUUAUUUUACCUUAUAAUUUUGUUGAUAUUGUUGGCAACUGGAUAGACUAGAUAAACCAAGAAGGUCGAAGGGCAUGGUGACCCCAGUGAGCCAAAGGCCUGAAAAAUAUAUAUGCAGAACCAAGAGCCACAAAGCUUAGGCCUUUUUAAGGAACUACUCAAUUCUCAUAAGAUCCUUGUAUAGCAUAUGAUACAGAUAGAGCCCCAAUCUAUGGCCUUUUAUGGAAUCCCAGGCAUGAAUUAAAAUGAGUGACUACUAUACUAGUUGUUAUUUAAAAGUAGGAGGGGUUUUCAUUUUCGAAUGACUAUUUAAGCCCCCAAAGGUCAAGUUUGAAACUGGCUGCUUCCUUCUGACAUUCUUUAGGUACACUUUUUUUUUUUUUCAAAAUUUUUUGCUGGGUUUGUUGAGAUCAUUUAGCACUACAAUAAUAUAUUGCGGAAAGUUUAAUGUGUCGAAGUAAUGAUAUGAUUUGGCUGUGGUCUGCGGCUUCAUAAUCUAAUAACAUGUGAAAUCUUUAUCUACAGGAUAAAUGCACCAUUAACUGGGAUAUAAAAUUUGGAUUUGCAGUUCUAAUAUGAUUUGUCUUUAAGUGUUUGUUGGUUCCUUCUGAAAUGUGUUAGGGGAACUUCAUUGCUUUUCCUCUAAUGCCUUCCUUAUGACCUUUUCUUUUCUUGAUAUUUACAUCUACUUUCCACAAACACGGGUGCUUGGAAGUUAUUUAGGGGUGUGUUUAUCCUUCCUAUAUAUGGGGUUCUAUUUUCUUUUGUAAUUUUCUAACAAAUUAGUUACCUAACAAUGAAAUGGUAUAAGGUAAUGGGAGACUGAUAUAGCAGCCUUUUGGGCAUUCAUUACCCUGUUAGAUUUUAUUUUAUUCUCCCAUUCUCUCUCACAUGAUCUUAAUUUGCCUUGCACUAUUUGGUUCUAUAAGAACAUUUUGGUCAUAAUGUCUUUGCUUGUUUAGAUCCUAAUAAACCUCUUCCAUCUUACUUUAUUUGAAAUGAUUUCAUAAUCUGCCUAUCGUCUCUGUAUUAGUUCUGUUGCAAAGGAGGUUGAAGAAUUUCAAUCUGACACUGAGGACUCUGGAAGUGUUGAUGAUGACGCCAAUGACUGUGGUCCAUGUAGCGACAACAAUGAUUUGGCUUGUGAAUCAGGAAAUUCCAAUUCAAGAAAACUUUAGUAUAUGAACCAUGAAAUAACAUGCUGAGUAUCUAUGUUAGGAUUGAUGGAAGUUGGUGGUCUAGGCCAAGGAGCGAGAAGCUGUAGGGUUGAGGACUAGCUUGAACACACUGAUGGUUGAAGUACAGCGUUUGAAUAAACUAUGUGCAGAGAGGAAAGAAGCUGAAGAUUCUUUAAAAAAGAAAUGGAAGAAGAUUGAAGAGUUUGAUGCCUGAAGAUCUGAACUUGAAACAAUAUAUACUGCUCUUCUUAAGGCUAACAUGGAUGCCGCUGCAUUCUGGAAUCAGCAGCCAUAAGAUGUGAGGGAGUAUGCGUCCAGCACUAUAAUUCCUGCUUGCUUAGUUGUCGUGAAAAUUUCCAAUGGUGCAAAAGUUUUUAUUGAUAAAUAAGUUUCUGCUUUCUUUCGAAGUCCUGAUAAUAGCCUCUACAUGCUUCCGUCAAUCCCACAGGCAAUCUUGGAGUCCAUGGGGGCUAAUGAAUCUACUGGACAUGAAGCUGUUGCUGCUGCAGAAAGAGUGCGGCUUUAUUGACUGCAAGAGCUGGUUCCAGGGAUCUAUCUGCAAUUCCAUCAAUAUUCCGUGUUUCAGCUGCCCUUCAAUAUCU